AUGUCAGUCGUACGAUGAUGCCCAGCUUGCUGGGCGGAUUAGUGGCGAACGGGUGAGUAAUACGUGAGUAACCUGCCCUUGACUCUGGGAUAAGCCUGGGAAACUGGGUCUAAUACUGGAUACUACCUCUUGCCGCAUGGUGGGUGGUGGAAAGGGUUUUACUGGUUUUGGAUGGGCUCACGGCCUAUCAGCUUGUUGGUGGGGUAAUGGCUCACCAAGGCGACGACGGGUAGCCGGCCUGAGAGGGUGACCGGCCACACUGGGACUGAGACACGGCCCAGACUCCUACGGGAGGCAGCAGUGGGGAAUAUUGCACAAUGGGCGGAAGCCUGAUGCAGCGACGCCGCGUGAGGGAUGACGGCCUUCGGGUUGUAAACCUCUUUCAGUAGGGAAGAAGCGAGAGUGACGGUACCUGCAGAAGAAGCGCCGGCUAACUACGUGCCAGCAGCCGCGGUAAUACGUAGGGCGCAAGCGUUGUCCGGAAUUAUUGGGCGUAAAGAGCUCGUAGGCGGUUUGUCGCGUCUGCUGUGAAAGCCCGGGGCUCAACCCCGGGUCUGCAGUGGGUACGGGCAGACUAGAGUGCAGUAGGGGAGACUGGAAUUCCUGGUGUAGCGGUGAAAUGCGCAGAUAUCAGGAGGAACACCGAUGGCGAAGGCAGGUCUCUGGGCUGUUACUGACGCUGAGGAGCGAAAGCAUGGGGAGCGAACAGGAUUAGAUACCCUGGUAGUCCAUGCCGUAAACGUUGGGCACUAGGUGUGGGGGACAUUCCACGUUUUCCGCGCCGUAGCUAACGCAUUAAGUGCCCCGCCU
rnacentral:rRNA from 1 species